rnacentral:rRNA from 1 species
AACGAACGCUGGCGGCAGGCCUAACACAUGCAAGUCGAGCGCUCACCUUCGGGUGGGAGCGGCGCACGGGUGAGUAACACGUGGGAACCUACCUUGAAGUACGGAAUAACUGAGGGAAACUUCAGCUAAUACCGUAUACGCCCUACGGGGGAAAGAUUUAUCGCUUCAAGACGGGCCCGCGUUGGAUUAGCUAGUUGGUGAGGUAAUGGCUCACCAAGGCAACGAUCCAUAGCUGAUUUGAGAGAAUGAUCAGCCACACUGGGACUGAGACACGGCCCAGACUCCUACGGGAGGCAGCAGUGGGGAAUAUUGGACAAUGGGCGCAAGCCUGAUCCAGCCAUGCCGCGUGAGUGAUGAAGGCCUUCGGGUUGUAAAGCUCUUUCAGAUGGGACGAUGAUGACGGUACCAUCAGAAGAAGCCCCGGCUAACUUCGUGCCAGCAGCCGCAGUAAGAC